CUAGACCCCAGGUGGGUUUAUCCUUUUUUCUUCCACUAAUUCCCCCAGUCACGACACUGUCCAGUGGAGAAGAUGAGGUUUCAACAGUGCUUCCUUUCCUACCAGAUGACCGUGGGAAGUGAAUGUACUCUAAAUAUAAUCAGCCUCUUACCCGGCUCCAGGAGUAGUGUUGUUUUGAAUCCGGCCACCAUCACACCAUAAGGAGAGCAUCCCCCAUAAGCUCAAGUGCUGUAACCCGUGGGCCGCCGCUAGCUUUUGCACUGCAGAUAUUUAAACGUAAUUGCAUGUAACACUUUAUUUAUAGUAAUGAAAAAGUACUUAAAAGCCAAUUACAUAGUUGGAAAUUGCACAUCUCUAAACAGAUGUAGAAUAAUUAAAAAGAAAUCUACCACCCAUCUACCAUCUACAGAAACUCCUUGGAAUUACCAACAUGAUUUAUGUCAGAAUCCUCCAGGCAGUUCCUCUGGUGAAAUGGCUGGCCUGUAUUAGGUACAUUAGCCUAAUGCACCUUUCAUAUGGCUUAAUGGGGAAUUGACGUGUAGUUUCCAUGCAUUCGUUAUUCUUUUUAUGAUCAAAAUUAUUCAUUCAGGAGCAAUACGUUUCUGUAAAUUUCCUUUGCCAAGAAGUGGUUUUGGUGAGCAAGUCCUUUGAGGUGUUUAUCGGUAGACAUGGGAUAAAAGGAUGGUGUUUUCCAUGGGGAUGAGGGAAGGGUGUCUUUACGCAGAUACAUCAUUCACUGACUGCAUCAAGCUCCCCAUAUGACACCAAUCAAAGAACCUAAACUAGGAAUUCGUCAUAGCUGAGAAGUCCCUGGUCAGCUUCCAUUCAUUUUGAGGGCAAAUAGGAAUAGAAUGAAUAACGGAAACCCAUCCCUCAUGUUAUUCUUAUCCUUAACUAUUUCCUUCUGAGCCACCCCCACACACAGUUGAUCAAAAGAGGAAGUUCAUAGGUAUCUUUGGUCGUGGAAGGAUUGUUAUACUCUAAAAGCUAACAACACACAGGAAUCUGACCAUCAUUAUAGAUGAAACCAUUUGCACCAAAGAAGAUUCUUGUUCCAUUUGGAAAUUUAAAAAAAAGUCCUCGAGGAGUUCCCGAUGUGGCUCAUUGAAAAUGAACCUGGCUAGUAUACAUGAGGAUGCAGGUUCAAUCCCUGGCCUCACUCAGUGGGUUAAGGAUCCAGCAUUUCAGUGAGCUGUGGUGUGGGCUGCAGAUGAAGCUUGGAUUGUGCCUUGCUAUGGCUGUGACUAAGCAAGCAGCUGCAGCUCUGAUUCAACUCCUAGCCUGGGAACCUCCAUAUGCUGAAUGUGUGGCCCUAAAAAAGCAAAAAAAAAAAGGAAGGAAAAAAAAAGAAAAAAUUCUGAAAAGUUUGACCCUGGACUUAACAGAAAAAUAGUCUCUUGGAAAACUUCUAUUAAUAACUUCAAUAUUAUGUCAGUGUAUUUUUCAGUCUUGAUCCAGCAUAAUUAACAUUUUCACUAAUAAAGAAUAUAUAUAUAUACAUAACAUAUAAAACAUAGCUAUGUCUACCUAGCAAGGAAGGGAAAUUCAACUUACUGUGGGUUUGUUACAUUCAAUUUUUUUUCUUCCUAAAAUAAAUAAAUAAUCUUAGUAUUUUCUAAACUCCCAAUGGUUUGUACCUUGUUUGGAAGCUCAAACAAAAAUACCUCUUUUUCUUACUCUCAUAUUCUUUAGUAGCCUCAACAGAAAUUUAGAAACUUUCUCCUCCAUGAGUAUGAAGGGGAGGGUGGAUUAUUUUGCUCCUUCCCCCAGCCCUGCCACAUCAGGCUCAUCUUUUUCUUUGUUUCGCGUCCUCUUUCAUUCUCCUCUGCCUUCCUCCUUAUCAAAACCUGCUGUGAGGAACAGACCUGGUGUGAGUCAUUGUCAGGAGUAUGACCGUCAGUUGCCGUGUUAUCUUGUUUUUCAGGCAAAUAAGCUGCAGGUGUCAGGAAAUGGGGAAAAGAGAGAUGUUUUGAGCAAGUAAGCUCUUUAUUGCCCACCCAAAUCAUUCCACACUUUCAACUUACAAGCCACCCUGUAAUACUUAGUCUGCAAAGGAGAAGGAAGGAGGCCCCUCGAUUUAUGGGUCAAAUACAACUGAUGAGGCUCCAUUUUCUCCAUGACCCUGCUCCCCUUCUCCCCCAUGCAUUUGGCAGGACACAUUGCCCUUGGGUUUCAUGACUGUGAUCCCCAAGUCUGACUUUUCAAUUUUCACUUCUUACUCAUCUGUAUCUAUUUUGUUAGUUUCUAUCUAUCCUUCAGUCAAGGUUCUUCUACUUCUCAUUCUGUUUCAUGUUUCACCCUUUCGAGUUUUUCCAAGCAUGUUCUUCUGAUGCUUGACUUCACAAGAGAUGGAUUGUACCUAAUGUUUCUGAGGAACAGCUUUACCAUCAUUUAAGACACAAGGUGACUUUAAAACACUAGGCAAACCAUAUGAUUCACACCACAUCUCCUAGCUCAGAUGACAAAGUCUAAGAAGAGGGGGGUGAGUGACUUAGGUAAGGUCACUGGCAGGGGACUAGUACCAUUUCUCUUGACACCCAGGAGUUUCCAAUCCAUUUCUCAGUUGACUGGACCAUUGUGCACCAGGGCAGAGAAGGCAUGAGAAUGGUGGAUGGCCAGGGCAGACACCAAGUGCCAUGCAGAAGGAGGCUCUCUUCUAAAGAUGUUUGCCUGCAUCAAGCAGACCUCACACUCUGACCAUUCAAACUCUCUUUCCACAAGGAAACAGAGUUGGAAGCAAAUUGUUCCUUUGCCUCUUUAUCUAGUCCUUUACCAAACAUUUAUUAGUCAUCUAACCUUGCCUGGGUAGUCAUACUACAGGGCCAGGGAAAUAGUUUGUGGUAGGUAUGGGCUAAACUGUGUCUCUCCCACAAAAUUCAUAUGUUGAAGCCCCUAAUACAGUAGAAUAUGACUCUUUUGGAGACAGGUAGAGCCUUUAAAGAGGUAAUUCAGGUUAAAUGAAGUCAUUAAGGCACACCUUAUCCAACAUAACGGGUGUCCUCAUAAAAAGAGAAGUUAAGGACACAGACACGGGUGCAUGAAGAGGAAAGAUGUGAAGACACAGGUGGUAGAAAGUGGCCACCUACAAGCCAAGGAAAGAGGAUUCAGAAAGAACCCAACUUUCCAACAACUUGACCUUGGACUUCCAGCAUCCAAAACUGUGAGACAAAUAAAUUGCUGCUGUUUAAGCCACUGAGUCCGUGGUGUUUUGUUAUGGAAGGCUGUUAACUAAUACAGGGUUCAAGGAUGAACACAAAAGCAUCAUUGCUACUCAAGAGCUCACCAUACAUCAGGACAGACAGUGGUAUGGGCCCUGGUAUUAGAAUGCUAGCGUUCCAGGAUGCAGAGAGGAAAUACCAACUAACUCCUCUUUCUUGGAGACCAUGGAUGUCUUCACAGAGAAGGCAAGAUUAAGCUGAGCAGUAAAGGAUGAGAGCAGUUGACCCAGAAGAGAAGAGGAGAGAAAAACAUCCCAGGUAGAAUGAACAGAACGGGUACAAUGCUCACAUGUGGAAAUGCACAGUGCUUUCUGGCAACCAGCAACGGUGCAGCUGGCAUGUUGAACAGAUGGGAGGUUCUCAGGGGAUGAGGCUGAAAAGCAAGAUUGGAGCAAUAUUUUAUAGUGAGUAGAGGGUGACGAAAAGAAGUUUGAAAUUCUUUCUUAGAUAAAGGAUUUUUAUGCAUGGAAACUGUGACAUGUUAGAUCCUAACCACAUUUUUAGGAUCUGAGGACAGGGUCUAAGGUAGAGGAAAGAUCAACCCCAAGCCAGAGAGACAAGUUAUGGAGUGAGUUCCAUGGCCCAGACAGGAAUGUCAAAAACCUCAUCUAGGGCAGCGGCAAUGGACAUGGAGGUGCACAGAAAGAUGAUGAAUAGUGGCAAAUUCAAGAGUAAAAGGAUUCCUUAAAUGUCUCUGUUUCCAGAGUUCCCAUCAUGGCUCAGUGGUUAACAAAUCCAACUAGGAACCAUGAGGUUGCGGGUUCGAUCCCUGGCCUUGCUCAGUGGGUUAAGGAUCCAGCAUUGCCAUGAGCUGUGGUGUAGGUUGCUGAUGCAGCUCAGAUCCUGCGUUGCUGUGGCUCUGGCAUAGGCUGGUGGCUACAGUUCCGAUUUGACCCCUAGCCUGGGAACCUCCAUAUGCUGUGGGAGCAGCCCUAGAAAAGGCAAAAAGACAAAAAAAAAAGAAAAAAGAAAAAAAAAAGUCUCUCUUUCCUACUGUCUAGUCUUUGGGACUAUCUCUAAGGAAGAUGUUGACAUCAAUAGGACCAGGAAGCAGAAAGUAGAGGCUAGGAUCAGAGGUCCUGCAAGUCUAAACCUCAGUCAUCCUGCUGAUGCUAUAAAUGGUAGAUAUUCAACCCCAUCCUCUGAGCCCAUUGAAGGGAUGGAGACAAAACACAAAGAGUGGAAAGAAACCAUGUUUGCACGAGAAAAAUUUUACAUGUCAGUCAAAGUGGACAGAGGCUAGAACAGCCCACCGAAGAGGAUCAUGAACUCACUCCUCUCCUGGAGGAUGGUUGAAACCAUUUCUUGGAAAGUCUAGGUUGCAUUUCAUGAAGAUAAGGCAUAUUUGAGUAUUAUGUGUCUAGAUUAUGCUAACUCCAAAUGGAAAAAACAUCACAUUGACCGGACUACACCACUCAGAGCCCAUGGUCUCCACACCCAUCAGCAUCUCUGAGUGAGUGUACAGCUCCAAGAAAGGCUUAUCCAAUGAGAACAGAGGACCAAGCAGCAAGGUAAUGGAUAUGGGAGAGUGAACAUGACUGAAGGCAAAGUGCUAGAAUCUUGAGCUGAGAAGUCAACCUGGAAAAUGAGGAAUGAACCUGAGCAUGGAAAUCAUGUAGAGGAAGCACCUGCUGGUAUCAAGAGCAAACACUCAGUCGCUGGUUUCCCCUCUUUUCCAGCUUCCAUGCAUUUCCCAAUGCUUCCUUCCCAGAUAAGACUUUGAAUAGAAAAUGAUCCUUGCUUGGUUUUCCCUGAAAUGCCCCACUGAGGGCCUUAAGACAUCCAACAUUCCUCCAACUCUUCUCUCCGGAAGAGUACAAGACUAGGGCUGAAAUGAGGGCUCUUGGGCAGGCAGAGGAGUGAGGGGAGUCUGGCAGAGGGGUGUACACAGUCUCCUUCAGAGGGAAAGAGAGUCAGGGUUUUGCCUCUGGGUUGGAGAGAGGCUUAGCCCCCUCCCCUGCCACAGCCAAACAGCAGUUCUGACCGAUCCCUUCCCAGAUGAAUCAUAGGGUAAUGGAAAGUACUUUGGUAUCAGCAUCUUGAGGGAACAGAGUUUUCAGGUUGGCCCCUAAGAUGGAUGGCCACCCUCAUACUCCUAUUCUCAACAAGACCCUGCCUGUCUUCUGUAAUAUAUCAUGAUCAAUAAUAUCUACUCCCAUCCCCUCUGGCAGUUAGUUUCCUGGUCUCUGCAACCCCAUUCCAAUUAAGUGGAGAUAUUCCUGGUCUUUACUGUCUUAGAAAUACAAUUUUCAACCCUCAUUCUCCUCCACGCCUGGUCAUGGGACAUCAUCAGGAACUUCUUCCGUGAAAGCAGUGAGCCAAUGCAAGUUCGACAUGGCUGUGUGUGCCAAUGCUUGCAAUCCAUCUACCAUGCUCGGCUGCUCUCCUGAGCAGGUGUGUCUGGUGGAACCAGCUGACCAUGGUCUAGGCUUCCACUGCUCAGCAUGGGUUCACAGUGUCCUUGCCUCAAUUCCUUUUUAGGGCUGUGAUAGGAAGAGUUGCGGUCCAAGAACACCUCUCCUAAUAAGCUGAAUUACCACAGCCUGAAGUUUCAUUCUCAGUAAGCAAUGACUAAUUCGGUGCACUGAAUCUAAAGCUGCUGCUGGAAUUGAGAGGCUUCCUUAGUCCAUAAAGAAGGUCACUGCCAUGAAUCUGAAUCACAAGGGGGUUAUAGGUAGGGCUGUUCCUGGUCAUCACUGUGCCAUGGCUUUACUCCAAUGUUCAGCCACAUGUGAAACUGGGAUAGCUUCAGAGAGGAACAAGAGAGAAGAGCAGUAAGUCACAGUGAGUUAUGGACAAAAGGGAAAACAGACAGAGAAGGCACUGUUGCCAUGCCUACAGCUGCAGUUCCACAGUAGUAACCUCUUUUAUUCACAAGUGCCAGCUCCACCCCUCCCUCCCCGCUGCCUUUUAGACUCAUUGCUCAACCCCCUGGUCUCCACACAAACAUGGAGUCAUAGGAAAUUGCCCUGAUUUAGUAAAUCCUAGAGUCUGCCUUUGUUAUUACUUGUGAAGGUUUGUUUUUGGGAAAUUGAGGAGAGAGCCAGCCAGUUAAACGGUAAGCACGUUAAAUCUCUCCCAUAGGAGUGAACCAAGAGGGCAUUUGACAUUAAGUUUGGCUAAACUUUUAGAUUCUUUCUUUUGGUCCCUGACUUUCCUUGUCUUAGUGCAUUUACUUUAGAAAACUUGCAAUUAAAAAUCUCUUCUUUGCCCCUUUUGAGAUGCAAAUUUUCUCCUGGACUCUUUCCAGUUUUUUUAGAAUCCAGGAAUGUCCUCAAGGACUGGGAUUCAUCCCCUUGAACUGUAACCAUGAAGGAAAUAAAGAUGCUCAUCUCUCAGUAUCUGUAGGAGGAAAGGACUCUAAUUUUGGUCAUCAAUUAGCAAACACAAAAGGCCUAAGGACACUGAGGAAACUCCCCUUAAUGACCUCCAGUACCUCCUAGUAGUUAAAUGCAACACUUAACAACUCUCCCACCUUUUGUUUCAGAGGAAUUGAGUUUAAUCUCAAUCCCUCCCUCCCUCUCUCUCAGCAUUUAUCUUGACCUCUAUUCCAAUAGUCUUGAGAGAGAUUGGAGCAGAAUCCAGAGUCUGAAUCCAGUGGAUUCACUUCCUGAAUUUUGUACAGCUAUAAAGGACUUUCUCUAAAACCAAAAGCUGGUCAAAAGUUGGACAUUAAGUCUACUUCCUGAAAGUGUUCCAUCCCUGAAGUUGGAGUGAGGUGCAAUGGGCAUUUUUUGAGAACUUUCUAUAGAUUGGGCUCAAGAUCCUUCCAGUGCUAAGCAGACAGGAUCAACUUUCAUUACCAUCAGUAUGCGUACGUGUGACCACAUGUCCUUGCAAAAUGACUGUAA
rnacentral:lncRNA from 1 species